CCUACGGGGGGCAGCAGUGGGGAAUAUUGGACAAUGGGGGCAACCCUGAUCCAGCCAUGCCGCGUGUGUGAAGAAGGCCCUCGGGUUGUAAAGCACUUUCAGUGAGGAAGAACGCCUGGUGGUGAAUACCCAUCAGGAAAGACAUCACUCACAGAAGAAGCACCGGCUAACUCCGUGCCAGCAGCCGCGGUAAUACGGAGGGUGCGAGCGUUAAUCGGAAUUACUGGGCGUAAAGCGCGCGUAGGUGGCUUGAUAAGCCGGUUGUGAAAGCCCCGGGCUCAACCUGGGAACGGCAUCCGGAACUGUCAAGCUAGAGUGCAGGCGAGGAAGGUAGAAUUCCCGGUGUAGCGGUGAAAUGCGUAGAGAUCGGGAGGAAUACCAGUGGCGAAGGCGGCCUUCUGGACUGACACUGACACUGAGGUGCGAAAGCGUGGGUAGCAAACAGGAUUAGAUACCCCUGUAGUC
rnacentral:rRNA from 1 species